AAAAAAUUUCAAAUAACCUGACUCUGGAGACUCAAUGGAAAGGGGGACACAGGGAGAUGUAGGGGGUUGUUAGGCAGCUCCAGGAACCCUUUUUCUGCCUGCACCAGGGCAGGGGCUCACAUGGCAGAUGAGUUGUCAGGCUCUGUGAAGGUAAGAGCACCAGGAAGUGCUGAAGGGUUGAAGGAGGGAUGUGAGGGGAGAAAGGGGUGUCAGGGGUGACUCCAAUACUUCUGGCCUGAGUCACUGAAUGAACGGUUGCCACGAGCAGAGUACUAUGAGGAAAGCAGGUUGGAGAGAGGUGGUGAUGGUGGGGAGGGAGAAUUCCAGAGGCUGGGUUUCACGCAUGUGAUGUUUCAGACUAUUUUUAUAACAUCCAACUGGAGAUACUGACAGGACAGACACAGUCCUUGCCUCUCUGGGAACCUAUAUCCUAGUGAGGGAGAAAUCCCGUCAACACCACAACUAAGAGACAACCUAACCUGUCAUAUAGUGCCAGGUGUCGUGAUGGUCAUGUGAUGGGGAGUGGUGACUGUCACAGUUGACUGGGGGCGGCCUUGGUGGGCAGGUGACGGGAGAGCUGAGACCCAGGACAGGGACAGCAAAGCCAAGUCCCGGAGGAAGGAAUGAACUUAGUGAGUUAGAGGAAUAGAAGGAAAGAAACUCCAGAAGGCUUACCCACAGCUGGGUCUUACUUUACAUGUGAUGGGAAGCUGACUUGGAGGAUGUGGUCACCUGAUUUCCAUUUUUAAAAAAGGUAACUUUGGAGACUGGAUUAGCAUUAGAGGGAGCAGGAAACCUGAUUGGCAGUCCACUAACCGUCGUCUAGCCAAACAGGACGUCGCCUUGGAAGGCCACUGGAGAUGGAGUAAAUCAGAGAGAUGUGGAAUCUGCUUUGGAGGCAGGGCCAGCAGGAUGAAAGAAUCAUCCAGGAUGCUGCUGCAGUCUUGGGGAGGUGCUCACGUGGAAUGUGAGGUCUCGCCGGACCCCAGGCUGGCAGGUGGCCUUUGUCUCCGUGAGUCAGAAGGGCAUCAAACCACGGCCCGAGGUUUAACCGCGAAGCCCUGCCCCUGGCACCGAGCAGGUCCUCCCCCCCCCCACCCCCUUCCCCUCUGCGUUUCAUUUUACUCGUCCAGUCCCAACAGAAGGCUCUUCAUAAGGCACCGUCGUCAGUUUAUAGUGCUUGCAGUGUUUUAACACUUUAAUGACAUGAGAGCCAAUUUUAUUCUGUCCUGGAAAUUACUCUCUUCUGUUUCUGUUUCUCUCCCUCCCUCUCUCUCUUCUCCUCCUCCUCCCGUCUCACUGUUCCUGCGAUUAUUUCUUUUGGAAAUAAUUCCUCUCACACUCUGCCUCCAUAAAUCUCUGAAUCCCGGCAGAUGGAACAAGGCUGCUAUUACGAGGGAACAGAAUCAACAGGGAAGCGGCAAGCGGGAGGCAAGCUUUAUGCUCUGUGGUUUCGCCCCAGUAGGAGGACGUGAUGACACCUCCAGGACAAAAGGUUCAUCUUUUCAACUACUUUGACUUCUCAGGAGCCCCCCAGCCCCGUGGUCUUUUUAUGAGAGAACUGUUUUCACCUCCUUGGCUCUGCACAUGUUUUCUACAUAAUAUUAAACAGUAACCUUUGAGUCCCCACAUACUGGACGCACAGACCACAGUACACACAGACACACACACAGACACGCGCGCGCGCACACACACACGCACACACACACUCUGGCAAAGAUAAAACAACUUUUAACUUAAUUUGGCUCUUCCUUUUUUUUCUUUAACACCUUGAGAUAUAAUUUACAUGCCGUAAAAUUCACCCAUUUUUAGCCAUGUAGUUCGAUGUUUUUCUUAUUUACCGAGUUGUAUACUGGCUGUUUCUUUUUGAAAAUGGAGCCCGUGGGUGAACAUUUUGACCCCACGUGCUCCCUCCUCACUUUGAAAGGCGACAUCUAAAGUGCAGAGAGCAACUUCUGUUUCACCCCCAAAAUAGUUGUUUUAUUCAUUCUGCCAUUUACAACUUACUUCCUGUGUUUUGAUUCUGAGCUGCUCAGACCUGCUUCUUAGAAGCCAGGUGGAUUCAUUUUUUACACUGUCAAGAAGUUUCUCUUGUGUUAGAGGAAUUUUCUGUUUGCUUGUUUGUUUUGUUAGUGUUUAGUGAGUCUUCAGAUCUUUGUUUCAUCUGCUGGGCUAAUUAGAGAGACUUGAAAUGUAUCUUUGUGACACGACAGACUAUAUAGAAAUAUUUGGUAUUUAAAGCUCAGCUCAAACGGUCACAGCAUUCUGACUGCUGAGAUUGGUAAAAAGAAAAAAAAAUGAAGUUACCAAGAAAUAGAAAUAGGGCAUGGAGGCCUAGAACUUUUUCCUAAUAUUACAUCUUCAUCUAUAGUUCGGUCUUGAUAUCUGAGUCUUUCUCAUUUGAAAAACAGAAAUGAAAAUAAUCACUUUAGGAGAUCUGCCUGAGGACUGCAUGAGCUAAUUCACGUGAAAACACCUAGAAUGCUAACAAUUUUUAAAAAUUUAUAAAUGUUCAUUGAAUACAAAUCCUAAGGAACUUCACCAAUGGCAUAAGGAUCGUGUUUUGGCCACGACACGGUACAUUAAUAAAAGCAUAGCACCUGCUGUUGAAGACUGUGUACCAGUUUAACCAAUUGUUCAACGAACAGGUAAUGAGGCUUGCUGUGUGCCAGGCACCGGGGAUAGAAUGGUGGACAGGCAGGUACAGUUGGAUGGAAGAGAGAUGUUCAACACAUAGUUGAGCAAAUAAGUAUCUAAGUACAAACCGUGCAAGGGUUAAAGAAACCAUUCUGGUAUGUGUGUAUGCAUGUGUGUGUGCGCAUUUAAAGCAAUUUAAGGUAUAUUUUGCUAGUAAAUGUAUACCUAUGGGCAUAGAGAAAUUUUCUGGAACAACUCAUGAGAAAUUGGUUACAAGUGUUUCUUUUUGUAGAUAGAUAGGGGAAUGUCUUCUACUUUUUAUUCUGUAACUUUUCUAUGCAAUUUCAAGUUUCUAACUAUAAGCAUGUACUUUUGUUUUGCUGUUUAAAUAUCAGUAGGCUUCUCUGAUCAGUAGGCUGGGAGUCCAUUAUUAUUUUCUUCAUUAGACUUCUAUUAAAAAACAACCUGUUAUUUAAAAUGAACAAAUGAUUAACCGCUUGCAAUAUUUAACUUGUCAUGCCAAUUAAAUAUUAAAUAUUACACUUGAGAAGACAAAGGUCAUUUACAAGAGUGCAAGACUGCAUCAACCCACACUAAAUUGUUACCACCUGCUCGCGCCCCCAGUUUGCCCAGACAACACUUUCAUUCAACAGAUAUUUACUGAGCGCCUACUGUGUACUAGGUAGGCAUUGUUCUGAGCACUACUAGAUAAAACAAAGCCAUCAGGGAGUCAGGCUAGAUUCUAGUUGGAGGAAACAGACAAGUAAACCAAAUACAUAUUUAUAUAUAAUAUGUGCUAUAAAAAAUUAAAGCAGGGCUGGCGGGCAAGUGACGGAUGGUGCCCUCUGUUCAUCAUAUAGAAUACACUCUGUAGUUGUAUCACUGGAAAGAAAGACUGGGAGGCCUGAGAAGGUGCCAUUUCAGCCUGGAUGAGGGAAGGAGGGAAUGAGCCAUGCAGAUAAAUGACUGCCAAAAGGACCAGUAAAGGCUCUGAAAUGGGAAAGCUGGAAACCAGCAAAUCUUGGCAUCAUAAGGAAAAGGAUCCUGAGAUGCGUUGUUUCCCGUCUACUCUGAGAUGCUUCCCAGCAGGAGGGGCACACGAUAGGUAAGUGAAUCCAUGAACUACUUGAAAUAAAAAAAAGCUGACAAUAACUAGCCUGAGCUCACCAUCUAGCUGUGUAUGCUGGGAUGCACUUCCUGCUGUGGUCCCCACCUGUAAAAUGAAGGGCAGCUAUUACGUUGUCUGAGUCCUUUGAUUCCUUCUCUUGCUCUCUCUCUCAUAUUCUGAGAUCUAACUUUAUGAAUUGAUUAAAAUAACUGCUUUGUAACCAGUGAUUUUCACUAUCGCUGGCUGAACACUAAGUUAAUCUUCUCUUCCUCCUUCAAACAGGAUUCUGUGGGUGGGUUGCCCUAUAACAGUGGUUCUCAACCCGAGGCGAUCCGAACGCCCUCCCCACCCCCCUUCUAGGGGACACGUGGCAGCUAUAGGAGCCGAGGUUACCUGUCAUGACUGUGGGGGGUGCCGCCAGCAACUGGGGUCUAGGCCCAGGAAGCUGGUAGACACCCCACAACGCACAGGACAGCCCCCUGCAACGCAGAAUGACCCAGUCCAAAUGUCAACAGUGCCGAAAAUGAGAAUCUCCGGUCUAGAGAAACUGGAAAAGAUGGAGAAGGGAGGAAAUGAAUGGAGGGCACUGCCUACUUAUGUCCAGCUGGUAUUUUCCCACCUAAGAAACAACACAGCAACUUUGGUCUUUUUUGAUGCUGAUUCUCCUCUAUUGAUUACGCUUUAUUAUUCCUGAAGACUUGGGUGUGUGACUUAAAUAACCCCACGUUAGACACAAGCACAACAGAAUAAAUGAAAACUGGAGGGCAAAUUCUAACAUGUACCAUAACUAUAAGAACAUUCUUUCUAAGGCUUGAAAAAGUCUUCAGAUCCUUGGUUUAAUUUAAUCGACAAUGCGUUCAUCUGCAUAUGGCAUUCAGCAGCAAAAUAAACUUUUUUUCCUGCGUCUUUUGUUUCCGAAUCAAUGGGGAACAAAGGAUAUCCCGGUUCCAUUCAGGCAGUUUCAAUGAUUCUCAAACGUGGGAGUAGUAGUCGAGCCAUUUAAAAUACAGUGAUGAGAAAGCAUACUUAGUAACCUUGUAAACAUGCUAUGAAAGUACAAGGGAACCUUUAAGAAGGAUAUCCAAAUGUCCUUUUUAUAUAAUAGCCCUUUGUACUAUGAAAUGUUCAGAGGUCCAUAAAAUGGAAUUGAACAGAACAGACUAGAAGAGUGCAAUUUCCAAGUUUUCUAGUAAUGGUGCUGUUAAAACAUUAUUUUUGUUUCUUAACACUCAGAAAAUUAAGUUUCCUCACCCCAGGAUCAGCCCUACUCACAGAAAGGACUUUGGACCCAUAUUUAACCAACCGUCAGAAGGGAUUCAAAAGGAGGCUAAUUGAACACUGAGGUUUUUGAAGCUCUCAAACGAUGACCCAAGUGUUUUCUUGAAAACAGCAGCAGCUUGGCAGGAAGCAGGAAUUAGACAAGAGAAUUGAUGGAAACCUGCCCUCCAAAUGGGAAGAAAAACUUCCAAUAACAAACUGUGAGGUUUGAAAUCACUGCGUGUUAUACUAUUCAUUAUUCAAAUGGCCACCACCCUUAUGGCCUGGCAUUUUCUCCUGCUUCUGAGCUGCCCCGAGAAACGCACUUUAGUAAGGAUGAUCCCCCCUGAGGAAAGGGAAACCCCUCUUUGUCUCCCCAUUCUGCCCCCCGCUUCUAUCCGCAUUCUCUCUCUGUUCUAGCUGCAUGUUUUGCAAUCCCCUCCAGUGUUCCAAAGGCCAAUGAAAUCAGUCUCCCAUAAGGGUACCCAGCCAAGUACACUCACUGCUCAACUGUAUUUUUCUCUUUCUUAGCCCUUUCACCCACUGAUUUCAAAUUUCUCUUUAACAGGCCAGCUAUGGCAGACCUCAACCGAAUAAGUGAUGCAAAGGCAAGCUAGGAAACCACACAGGUAAGGUUUCUCGAAGAGGAGAGCAGCCCGAUGUUUCUCAUCUAAAUCCUGAGGCCUCACUCCAGCCUACAAAGACAAGUGGCAGGAAACUAACAGCAAUAAUCAAAAUGAGCUCAGCUGGCCUCGAACUGCUUUUAAAAAAGUGUGUGGAGGGGAAGGAAUACAGGCACUCUGCCCAGGAGAACCUAGAGAGAAAGAAAUCUUCUCUCUUAAAAAUCCCUGAAGUUUGCUGCCAGUGAUUCAGUACAUACCUGACCAAAAAAAGAAAAUUUCCUACCCUAACUGGUUUGGCUGUUUCCCGGCUACUACCUAGAGAAGUAAACAGAACCUUAUCAUCUGUUACAUCUGAUUUGGACUUUUUUUUUUUUUCAAGUAAAUAUUUGUAAUUUCAAUGCAGUUCCAUUACUGCCACUGCUGUCUUUGAAUUGGACUGACUGACGAUACUGUCUUGGAUGACGCCGACUCCAAAGCAACAAGCCAGGGAAGCCGGCACCUUCCUCCCAGCUGGCCUCCCUGUGGCCACUGGGAGGGCUGGGGGAGUAUUUGGUGACUGGGGACCUCGCAGUUAUCUUAGGUUGUAGCUGAACGGAGAAACGUUCUUCCUUUGCCCUCUGGGCCCCUCAGUCGGUCAGGAUUUCUGCUGAUCGCUCUGCACCUCUCAAUGAAUCCAGCACUCUGGGCAUUUUUCUCUCUUUAUUCAGGAAGUGGCGAGCUGAGCCCUGAGAUUCUUUCUGCUCCGAUGAUAUAAACAAAUUGCAGAGGAAGUCAAGUCAAACUUUCCCUUGCUGCUUUUGUUCUCCCAACUAGCAAUUCAGAAAACAGAGCCAACUUUUUUUCUUUUUGGAUGCCUUUGAAAGAUUGCUCUUAACUGGAAAGGCAGAAACCCUCUUUUUUUUUUUUUUAAACAAAGAUACUCAACUUAUUUUUUCAAAAAAAGAAAUGCCCUAGACGGGCUUUUUUUUUUUUAAAGGCCGUUUCUGAGACUUUUCAAACCAAAUUGCUCCCCUGACAUUGCAUACUUACCUAAUGGUUGUUCUUCCCUUCAAAUUUCAACCAAAAGAGCAAUAAUGAGCUUCGUGAGGACAAUGGCUAAACCUGACUGGAGGCUCCUGGGGCCCUAAUUCACAACCAAGGAGAGGCAACAGUCACGAUUCAAUAAGGGUGCUAGUACAAGGCACACACCAGACAGAAAGGAGACAUCUUAUCUGUAUAAUCUACAGAUGCUGCUUGAAAAAUCACACAUAAUUAAGCCCUUCUCACAGUGGAAGCUACUUGAAGCUUUAUCACCAGCUUGUAAGAUGUCAUCUCUGGGCUUCACUGAUGGCUCUGAGUGAACAUUUCCAAACCAGAGGCAUCUGACAAUCCGGGUGACACGUUUACCAUGCCUACCUUAGUCAUCUAACAAAGAAGCUCUGCACUACAUAACUGAAGGAAAGCGGAAUGGCGGGGAUGGCCCUGAGGUGGCUUCCCACACUGGGUGUUCUGUUACAUUAAUCCUGGUGCAAGAACUAAGAUGUGACAGUCAUAUGCAUAUCUAUACGCCACGCUUGCUUGUCCUCAACUGGCCCUCCCUGUACACAGGCACGCAUUUCCCUUGAGCAACAUCAGAUGAGAAAGCAAUCGCUUUUCCAUUGCAGGGGAAACAGAGAAACAGGAAACCCAGAGGCAACGACUUGCUUGGAGGCCUCCAAGAACAUGCCUGUUCAUUCAAGGAGGAUGAGAGACACCUAGAGCAGACCCUGAUGCAGCCCACACCUUGAAGCCCAGACAGUCUAGAUCAUCUGAAAACCAGCCAACUUGCAGAUGCGUUUAUGAGAAAAUGGAAGAAGCAAGAAGAUUAGUGACUUACCCAAGCUUCCACAACUUGUAAGUGACAGAGCUGGGAUUCAAACCUAGGCUGUCUGGUUUCAGAGCUCACACUCUUACCCACCCUGGGAUGUUGACAGGGAAUUUGCAGAGUAAAAGGGGCAGCAACCUUAACGAACAAGUCAAGUCAAUAAUUACAAACCAUGGGCAGGACUAUGAUUGAAAAGAACAGGAAACAAGGGUUAAGAAUAAUAGAAACUGGCCUUCCCUGGUGGCACAGUGGUUAAGAAUCCGCCUGCCAAUGCAGGGGACACCGGUUCAAGCCCUGGUCCAGGAAGAUCCCACAAGCCACGGAGCAACAAAGCCCGUGCACCACAACUACUGAGCCUGCGCACUAGAGCCCACGAGCCACAACUACAGAGCCCACAAGGCACAGCUACUGAAGCCCACGCACCUAGAGCCCGUGCUCCACAAUGAGAGAAGCCACCGCAAUAAGAAGCUGGCGCACCGCAACGAAGAGUAGCCGCCGUUCGCCACAACUAGAGAAAGCCCGCGUGCAGCAACAAAGACCCAACACAGCCAAAAAUUAAAAAAAAAAAAAAAGAAUAACAGAAACUGUUUUAGACAGGUUGCCAGAGAAGUCUUCUCUAUGUAGGGGAAAUUGCUUCAAGGAUGAAUAUGAUCAGACCAAAAAUUGCUGAGAGAAGAUUGUUCUCCAGAGAGAAGAGCGGACAGGUUAGUCUUGAGUCAGUACACAGAGUGGUAUAUUUUAGGGACUGAAAAAUGGCCAUUGCUUCAGGAGGCCAAGAAGGUGAGUGUGUCUCUUGCCCAUCUCCAUAGGACAGGGGUUGGUCAACAGAUUUUUUGUAAAGCACCAAAUACUAAAUACCUUAAGCUUUGUCGGCUCUGUGGGCUCCAUCUUGAUUACUCAACUCUGAUGCUGCAGCAUGAAAGCAGCUGUACACGGUAAGUAAAUGGAUGAGCAUGUCUAAGUUCCAAUAAAACUGUAUAUAUGGACACUGAAAUUUUAAUUUCAGUGUGACAGUUCCAUAAACAGCAAGUAUGUGUGUGAAGACACACAGGAUAGUCAAAUGUGGUGCAUUUCUCAUGUAUCAGGGAACUUAUAUUUGAUACACCUUGACCUUGGAACUCUGGUGAGUUCUCUGUCAAAGUAUAAGUGAUACCAGUAAAACAUAAUUUUGAAUAAAACUAAUAACUAGGUUUUUAACUAGUAACUGGGUUUUUAAAAUCAUUCUAUUAAUCACGAUUCUCCAGAAAAACAGAAUCAAUAGGAUAUGCAAGUAUAGGAAGAGACUAUUAGGAAACUGACUCACGCCAUUACGGAGGCUGAGAAGUUGCACAGUUUUCUGUCUGUAAUCUGGCAGCCCAGGAGACCCAGGGGUGUAGUUCCAGUCUGAGUCCAAAGGCCUAAAACAGGAGUACCUAGGGUAAGAAAAUCAAAGUCCCCACUCGAGCAGUGAGUCAGGAAGGGCUGAAUUCUUCCUUCCUCUGUUUUGUUCUAUUCAGGCUCUCAGUGGACUGGAUGAUGCCCACCCACACUGGGGAGGGCGCACCGCUUUACUGAGUCCACUGAUUCAAAUGCUAAUUUCAUCGGGAAACACCUUCACAGCCAUUCCCAGAAAUAACAUUUAACCAACAUCUGGGCAACCCAUGAUCCAGUCAAGCUGACACACAAAAUUAACCAUUACAGUCUGCUGAAGAGGAGCACACGAUAAUGGUCGCCCAGGAAGAAGUAUUGGCACUGACAAAGAUAACGCAAAAGAAACGCUCCAUCGUUACAAACUAGUUAAUGGGUGUCAUCAUUCAAAGAGUAUUUGAGAUUCAUCACUGCCGUGGAAAGCUCAAAUUGCCUAAAAUCUUACAGGUCACAUUAUAAACAACUGGACAGAUGUUUUCCCAAAUCUGACACAACAAUCCUAAAAAUUUACAUCACCUAACCAGUAAUGUGUUGCAAAGCCAAAAGAAACUUUUCUAAAUUGACAACAACAAAUUUUGAUCAAUCCUGAUGUUGGAAAGAUUAAAUCUUCUUUCUAGUAGUCUCUCUAAAGAAAAUGAUAAUCCAAGAUCACUGUCAUAUUAACAGGUAAUCCAAGAGCGUGCAGCCAAAAUACACAGGAAACGCACAUUACAGGGAAAGUCAGGUAGUUAAUAAAAUAUAAAGAUGUUAUUUGGAGGAUUUUGUGAUGUCAGUGUUAUUUUCAGCUUUAAAAAUUGGGUAAUUUGUAGUAUAUUUUUAUUCUAAAUAAAUACUAACUUUUAUAACAUUUUUCAUAACUUUUCUACAUCCUUUCUCUUAAAGCCCCCAAAUUUUAUAACCUUCAAGGCCUACCAACCUGGAACCAGCUCUGAUUAAGCAUCUAUUAUAGGAGCCAGGCAUCUCUAGAUGCUAGAAAUGUAACAUUGAAUGGAAUAGACACUGGUGGUUUUAAAAUGUCUACAAGAAUCUGAAAAAGAAUACAUAUAUGUCUAACUGAAUCACUCUGCUCUACACCUGAAACACUGUACAUCAACCGUACUUCAAUAAAAAAAUUUUUUUAAGUGUAAACACAUUGGGGGAAAAUAUUCUGUGACACUCCCCCUUCAAAAGGCAGAAGCCUCUCCCUCUGAGCUUAGGCUGGACCUCAUGACUUGUUUCUAAGGAGUAGAAUAUUAUGCAGGUGACACUGAGCAACACCCAAGCCUAGUCAGAAAACACACUGCGGUUUCCUCCUUGCUCUUUCCCUCUGGAAGGCAACGGCCGUGUCCUGAGAAUAUUCAAGCAGCAUUAUGGAAAAGUCCACAUGGGGAGGAACUGAGGCCUCCAGCCAGCAGCCCUGUGAGCUCCAUCUGAGAAGCAGAUCCUCCAACUCCAGUCAAGCCUUUAGAUGUUGGCGGCCUCGACCAACAUCCUGACUAUAUCGUGACUACUUACAAGAAACCUUGAGCCAGAGCCACCUGUCCAGACUGUUCUCAGUGAUUCCUGACCUCAGAAACGGUGUGAGAUAAGAAAUGUUUGUUAUUUUCAGCUGCUGAGUUUUGGGGUAGUUACACAGCAAGAGAUAAAUAAUACACCACCAAAAGUCCUGUUUUCAUGAUUCUUACAUUCCGAUGUUUGUUUAGGGGCAAUGAAUAAAUGUUUUUUGAGGAUAUGAUGAACGACAGUAAAUCAAAUAAAUGUAUCAGAUUAUUACCCAUUCAUUUAUCAAAUAUUUACUGAGAAGCACCAUAUGGUUAUCUGUGUUCUAGGCAUCAAGCUAGAAUAAUAAACGAGA